GAAGAAGAGGAAAGAUAGUAAGAAAACAAAAACAAAUUCCAGUAAACACUCAAUCUCUAGAAAGCCAACACCUGUACAAGAAACAGGUUUCAAAAAGAGAUUGGCGGAAUACUUCGGCAACGAAAUAACCUAGUAGAGGGAAGAAAAGUCGGCCUGGCUGUUCGAAGAGGAUGGCGGGUAUGAAAACAGUGGUUUCGCGUUGAAUACUUUGGGAGAAUUAGAAUUUCGUAGCAAUUCACUUAGAUCGUGUGUGUAUUAAUAUUUUGUUAAGCAAAUUUUCUCAUGUUGAACCCAGAAAUGUAGCAGAAAACAGAACCUUGGUUGGUUGUUGUUGGUAGAGGGUAAAGUUAUCCGCCCCCCCUGAGGAGUUCUUUUUAGUGCUGAUGUUCCUUUGAUUGCGAUAGAGAAUUUAACGAAAUUUAGUGGAAUAUAGCACAAUUAUGUCGAGAUAGUAGAUGAGUUGGUAAGGAAGAUUCGUGAUCAAUUUAUCCCGUUCUGACUUC